rnacentral:rRNA from 1 species
UACGUAGGCAGCGAGCGUUGUUCGGAGUUACUGGGCGUAAAGGGUGCGUAGGCGGUUGUUUAAGUUUGGUGUGAAAUCUCCCGGCUCAACUGGGAGGGUGCGCCGAAUACUGAAUGACUAGAGUGCGGGAGAGGAGAGUGGAAUUCCUGGCGUAGCGGUGAAAUGCGUAGAUAUCAGGAGGAACACCGGUGGUGUAGACGGCUCUCUGGACCGUAACUGACGCUGAGGCACGAAAGCUAGGGGAGCAAACAGG